rnacentral:pre_miRNA from 1 species
UUGUCCCUCAUUCGCUCAGUAGUCAGUGUAGAUCCUGUCUCUGAAUCAGCAGCUACAUCUGGCUACUGGGUCUCUGAUGGCAUUUAGAGCUUCUGU